rnacentral:rRNA from 1 species
GACGAAGGGGGCUAGCGUUGUUCGGAAUUACUGGGCGUAAAGCGCGUGUAGGCGGUUGUUCAAGUCAGGUGUGAAAGCCUUGAGCUCAACUUAAGAAAUGCACUUGAUACUGGAUGACUAGAGGACCGGAGAGGAUAGUGGAAUUCCCAGUGUAGUGGUGAAAUACGUAGAGAUUGGGAAGAACACCAGUGGCGAAGGCGGCUAUCUGGACGGUUUCUGACGCUAAGACGCGAAAGCGUGGGGAGCAAACGGG